GGGACAGAGAACGUUCACUUGAAAAAAUAUUGCAACAUGCAUACUGUUUUCAUUGAAUAGACUAGCACCAACAUUUGAUCGUUUGCCUCCAUAACUACGACAGUGAGAUAAAAAGUAAUUCCUUAUACAUAUUCACAUAAAAGUAAUACACAUCAGUACCAAACUUAAAAUUAAAAAAGACAAUUCCAGUUUUCAUACAGAAAGACAAGAAGAACGAACUUGUAAAAGUAUCGAGAAAGGACAUGUAGGGUGUAAGUAUAUAGGCAACUACCUACAUCAACCUCUCAAAAGAAAAUUGGCAUGAAAAGGUAAGUUUGAAUUGAGAAUUACAUCCCCUCCAAUUUUCAACAAAGUAUUAGUACCAAACAGUUCUUGAUAACUGCACUAAAAGGGACUGAAACUAUUCAAUAUUUUUUUCAAGCAGAACACUCAUGUUAUCAUAAAAAUAUUUGUGACGACAUUUCACAAACACAUUCUUAAUUCACAAGCACGAAGAAGUAUGAUCCUUGUAAACUUCCAUUAACCCAUGCAAGUAUAAUCACAACAGAAUAUUUGCAAUAAUUAACCACAAAACAAGGGGAAAAAAAACAUCACAUAGGCAGAGCAGCAGGUAAUACAAAAUACACAGUAAAAGCCAGCCAAGAGCACUAGGACUCAUUUUAUAGAGAUAUUGAUGCAUAAGUACCUUUCCUCUAAGUAAAGUAUGCACCAGUCUCAGCUAGCCUAGAGUCUUAAUGAGUACCUUAUAGCCCUAUAACAGUCAGCACAACUCUUCAAAAAGAUUGAAACCUUUGGAAGAUGACUACAUCAAGGAAAUAGCAGCAAAUAACAAAUUAAACGUCACACAAUCUCCAUAUGACAAGUAAUGACCAACAUACUAGAAGGGGUUCCUCUUUCUGUACAAAAUUGCAUAUGUGUGGCUUUUCUUUUGCAGCCGUUUUGUAUAGGGGCAGUACCCCCUUGGUACCUUCUUAAUGGAAUUUUCUUUAUUGUUCAAACAACAAUAAUAACAACAACAAAAACAAAGACAUCUCAACAGGGAAAAGAAGUCACUGACUUUAUUUGACAUGGCAUCCCGUCAAACAUACACUUUGCAUUCACGGGUCCUUGCAGAGGGGCGUCAGCGUCGUGCGGAGGAGCGUCGGCAGCGUCGGCGUCAGGGUGGGGGAGAUGGAAGCAACCAGCCGAGGAGAGAGAGCAGAGGAGGGGGAAGAGCAAAUGGAAGCACACCUGCAUUUUUUUUGUUCUCCCCCGCAACGAGACGGAGAACGGGGAGAGAGAAAGGAGAGAGAGGACGAGUCGACAGGAGAGCGUCAGAGUGGUGGGCCCCAAG
rnacentral:lncRNA from 1 species